AGGUUGGUUAAUUAAUGAUGGAAACUGGGAAACACAUAGUAUUGAAAUGUGAAUCUGGGGGUUCAAAUCCCUACCAACUCA
rnacentral:tRNA from 1 species